rnacentral:rRNA from 1 species
CCCUUAGAUGUUCUGGGCUGCACGCGCGCGACAAUGACGUUUGCAACGAGAUUGCGAGGCCGUCAGGUCGAGCUGAUCUUGCAAGCUGCGUCGUGAUAGGGACAGUCGAUUGCAAUUAUUCGACUCGAACGAGGAAUUCCUUGUAAUCGCGCAUCAUCAGUGCGCGCUGAAUACGUCCCUGCCCUUUGUACACACCGCCCGUCGCUCCUACCGAUUGAGUGAUCCGGUGAGUGUUUUUGAUCGGCUUCAAGUUGGUUCGCGCCUCUUGCUUGCUGUGAAAUCAUGUAAACCUUAUUGCUUAGAGGAAGGAGAAGUCGUAACA